rnacentral:rRNA from 1 species
UUUUGUUUGGAGAGUUUGAUCCUGGCUCAGGACGAACGCUGACGGCGUGCUUAACACAUGCAAGUCGAACGGGAUCCAUUAGCGCUUUUGUGUUUUUGGUGAGA